UUCCGUAGGUGAACCUGCGGACGGAUCAUUAUCA
rnacentral:rRNA from 1 species